rnacentral:rRNA from 1 species
UACAGAGGGUGCAAGCGUUGUUCGGAAUUAUUGGGCGUAAAGGGCGCGUAGGCGGUGCGGUAAGUCACCUGUGAAACCUCUGGGCUUAACUCAGAGCCUGCAGGCGAAACUGCCGUGCUUGAGUGUGGGAGAGGUGAGUGGAAUUUCCGGUGUAGCGGUGAAAUGCGUAGAUAUCGGAAGGAACACCUGUGGCGAAAGCGGCUCACUGGACCAUUACUGACGCUGAUGCACGAAAGCUAGGGGAGCAAACAGG